rnacentral:rRNA from 1 species
AACAUAGCCUUUAGCUUAACAAGUAUUAAAGGUCUCGCCUGCCCAGUGAUCCCCUUAAACGGCCGCGGUAUCCUAACCGUGCAAAGGUAGCAUAAUCACUUGUCCCCUAAAUAGGGACUAGAAUGAACGGCUACAUGAGGACUAACCUGUCUCUUACAUUAAAUCAAUGAAACUGAUCUUUCAGUCCAAAAGCUGAAAUUGUCCCAUAAGACGAGAAGACCCUGUGGAGCUUAUUAAACUGACCCCACCACCAUGGAGCUUUCGUUUUUAGUUGGGGCGACUACGGAGCACAAAAAACCCUCCAGAAACCUUCCACAUAAGAUUAACACAUCGGUUCCCCGACCCAGUGAGUUUCCCCACUUACCUGAUCAAUGAACCAAGUUACCCCAGGGAUAACAGCGCCAUCCUCUUCAAGAGUCCCCAUCGACAAGAGGGUUUACGACCUCGAUGUUGGAUCAGGGCACCCAAAUAGUGCACCCGCUAUUAAUGGUUCGUUUGUUCAACGAUUAAAGUCCUACGUGAU